rnacentral:rRNA from 1 species
AUUGAACGCUGGCGGCAUGCCUUACACAUGCAAGUCGAACGGCAGCACGGGAGCAAUCCUGGUGGCGAGUGGCGAACGGGUGAGUAAUAUAUCGGAACGUGCCCAGUCGUGGGGAUAACGUAGCGAAAGCUACGCUAAUACCGCAUACGAUCUAUGGAUGAAAGCGGGGGAUCGCAAGACCUCGCGCGAUUGGAGCGGCCGAUAUCAGAUUAGGUAGUUGGUGAGGUAAAGGCUCACCAAGCCGACGAUCUGUAGCUGGUCUGAGAGGACGACCAGCCACACUGGGACUGAGACACGGCCCAGACUCCUACGGGAGGCAGCAGUGGGGAAUUUUUGGACAAUGGCGCAAGCCUGAUCCAGCAAUGCCGCGUGCAGGA